rnacentral:misc_RNA from 1 species
UUCGGUCUUUAACUGCACGCUGGUGAGUCUCGCGCGCCUCGUACAUCACACACGCAGACACACGCACGCGUAGAGGAGAAAGGGACGACUGCCGCUCGAGCAGCCGUGCACGGGUCUCGCACACGCAACCUUGACGCGAUACACUGAGCACGGACGAUAAGGAAAGGGAGCGGCACGCAGGAGAGGUAGCAACGAUACCCUCACACGCGCGCAUAAAUCAUGGCGUUUAAUGCGUUUGCUAGCUCGACAGCGCCAGGCUUCGGUGCUGCGUCGACGCCGGCUGGAGUAUGCGGCUUUGGCCACGCCGGAGGUGCCGCGCCCGCCGCACCUACGGGAGCUGGCGGCUUCAACGCAGCCCCCGCCUCGGCCCCGGCUUCGGGGCUCAGCUUCGGCUCUGGCACGUCGGCUCCCGCUGCCGCGACGCCGACACCGACCGCGUCGACUGUGGGCUUCGGAGGAUUCAUCGCUGGCCAUGCAGCAUCCACGUCCGUUACGGCGGCCAGCGGCUUCUCAACAGCCCCGCAGCCCCCGGCGAGCACGCCGACGCCGUUCAGUGGUAGCGGAUUCGGCCCUGGAGCGGCCGCUCCAGCGGCUGCGUCGGCAACCGCAGCUCCGGCAGCCUCUACGCCGUUUGCCGCUGCGAGCAUCCCGGCUGCACCCGUAUCCGGAGGGGGAGGCUUCGGCGGCACGACAAGCAGCGCUGCCGCAACUCCCUUCAGCGGCUUCGGCACCAAUACGGGCGCAACUCUCGCUGCCCCCGUCGGUGCCGCCCCUGCCACCGCCCCUGCGAGCGCGUCACCGGCUUCGGGAGCCUUUAACUUUGCCACUGCCUCGGUUGCUUCGGCUUCGGCCGCAAAGGCGCCGACGAACUUCGGGCCAUUUGGUGGUGCAGCUGCUGCAGCAACGCCGGCGCCAGUGGCGCUGACAGCUUCUGCUGAAGGCGCCAAGGCGCCCUCCAACGCAUUGUUUGGGCCCAACUCCGGAAACAGUGCCCCUAGUGCCGGCUUACCAGUGGGUGGCACGGGCACGAGCGGUCUUGCGGCUGCUUCAGCCGGCUUUGGCGAUAAGAGCGCGUCCUCAGCACCCGCGAGCGGUGCCGCCGGCGGUGGCUUCAACUUUGCCGGUGCGGCAACCACGGCCCCUGCGACAGGCGGUGGGUUCCACCUAGGCAGUGCGGCCUCAGCGCUUGCCGCUCCAACGGUAAACAAGACACCAGCCCCUGCUGCUGCGGCAGCCUCUGGGGGCUUUAGCUUUGGCGGUGCAACGCCGAGCCCUGCGGCAGGCCCCGCUGCGGCCUCUGCAGCCGGUGGGUUCGGCGUGACGUCGGCUACUCCAGCUCCGGCUGCUGCUCCCGCGGCUGCUCCUUCAACCAGUGGUGGCUUCACCUUCGGCGGCACGGGUGCUGCAGCAGCGUCAUCCGAUGCAACAACCGCUGCCGGUGCCACGGUGCCUUCAGCAGUGACGGGGUCUCCUCCGGCAGCAGCGACAGGUGCAAGCACCACGCCGAUUACGGCGGAUGCGACAUCAUCCGCAAAAAGAGCUGAGAACGCACCGCCUUUGCCGACCGCAGCAGCAACCGCCGCCUCGCCGUCGCAGGAGUUCGACGGAAAGAGCCUUGCUGCGGUUCUGCGCAAGCUAGACGUUGAUAUCUCCUUGGAUCAGCGGCACUUUGCCGACCUUGCCCGCCACGUCGUGGCGCGUGACCGACAGAUCAUGGCGCGUGGCCGGGAGUUGGCCGAAGUUCAGUCAGUCGUGAAGGAUGCCUUGACAGCGGCAAAAAGCGCCGAGGCGACGUUGGCGGAGUGCAAGCAGCGGCAAACAGCCCUCUCUGAGUACUUGCAAUCUCUGGAAGACAAGAUACAGCCGUACUACGCGCAAUGGGAGCAGCUACAGCAGCAGGUCCAUUCGGCAGACCCUUGUAGCGUGGACCAGCAGCGCGCUGUCACGUACGACAAUGUCAUGGCGCUGCUGGAAGAGGUUCAGGGCGUGGAGGAGAAGGUGGGACGUGCCGUGCGCCAGCACAACCACUCGCGCGAUGAGCUGCUGGGACUCAGCGAGAUUGAGGGUGCAAUGCGGUUGAUUGACGGGCAGCUGUGCGCACUGCAAUGCUGCUCGGCGCUGGCAUCCGCGCUAGAGUUGGAGCUUGAUCGCUUGCUUGGGAAAGCGUCGUAGCACGACGCAGCAGCAACGACAACAGGAAGAGCGAUUCACUCCCCCCGGUGAUGUGGUGAAUUCGGAUGUGGUGACGUGGGAUUGUGUCAGUGAAGAGCUCGCGUUGAAAUGAGAGGGCAAGCACCAACAGUGCCAACGACAGAGAGCGAAGAGGCAGCGAAGACAGAGCGAGAGACAGGCGCGAGGAAAAGCAGCUGCGAGGCGUUUGGCUGCACAGAAUCGUGCCGUGCGCGUUUUCCUGUGUUCCUUUUUUUCUUUCUUGUCCGAUUCCUUUUUUAUUUUGCGAGCGCAUCUCCGAAGAGAGAGAGAGAGCAGAAGGCACUGCACGCGCUUUACAUGCACGUAUCUUAGACACGUAACAUGGGCUAACAAACCCGCUCACAGAC